GCUGAUGAUGAUUCAAUCCAACUUGUAUGAGGUGUUGUGGAGCCAGGUCCCUGAUUUCAGGGAGAACCUACUUGGUGAAGCUACAUUCAUAUGAUAUUAAUGGGUUUGACUGAGGC